GUCUCUCCUAAAGAUAUUAUGCAUAAGUGCACAGCACAUACACACAGGAUGUUCAUGGCAACACUGUGAGUCAUAAUGACCUCAACGUCUACCAUCACAAGACUGGCAAAGUAUAUUAUGAUACACCUACACCUUGGAAAGGUAGGCAGCCAGGAAAAAGAAUGAGGAAAGUAUGUAAGUGGUAAAGAGGAAUAUCACUUGGAUACACCAUGGAGUGCACCAAGAAAGAUUUGUCAAACAAAUUAUACAUGGCCUGGGGUAAUGUGAGGAUUCUAUGUCUACGCAUGUGGACAGCCAGCCUGGAUGAAGCUUGGCUUGCGGUUCUUGCUAAUCAGACCAAAGUGCAGACCCAAAAGUGUCCCGGCGAGCUGCAGAGACCAUUUAGUCAGCGCUUCCCAUGGCCCAGAACAGUGUCGGGUAAGACAUUUAUAAGCAUGGGAUGGGUUACCCCCCCCCAUCACUGAGCUGCACCCCCACCGCGGGUGGAAAUCUCAGCCCUCCAGAGUGGUUCCUCUCUGCGUCCCAUUUUAGAGACGAGAGUCAGAGAGGUGAGGCGCUGUCCACGACGUCCACCUCAGAGGCAGUGCUGGGCGCCCCAGCUGGUCACCUCCUCAGGCUGCCUUCAGGUUCUUGGCUUCCUGUUCUACGCUUUGAGUCCCAAGACCAUCAAACUGUGGGCAUCACCUCUGGCUGGCUUCCGUGUUGUUCCCGAGCCUCUGUCAUCAUUGGUAUAAUUUUACAUCAAC
rnacentral:lncRNA from 1 species